GAAAGCAGGGGAUCGUAAGACCUCGCGCUAUUGGAGCGGCCGAUGUCCGAUUAGCUAGUUGGUGGGGUAAUGGCCUACCAAGGCGACGAUCGGUAGCUGGUCUGAGAGGAUGAUCAGCCACACUGGGACUGAGACACGGCCCAGACUCCUACGGGAGGCAGCAGUGGGGAAUUUUGGACAAUGGGCGAAAGCCUGAUCCAGCCAUGCCGCGUGAGUGAAGAAGGCCUUCGGGUUGUAAAGCUCUUUCGGCCGGAACGAAAUCGUCCGGGCUAAUACCCCGGAUGGAUGACGGUACCGGAAGAAGAAGCACCGGCUAACUACGUGCCAGCAGCCGCGGUAAUACGUAGGGUGCAGGCGUUAAUCGGAAUUACUGGGCGUAAAGCGUGCGCAGGCGGCUUCCUAAGUCAGAUGUGAAAUCCCCGGGCUUAACCUGGGAACUGCGUUUGAAACUACAAGGC
rnacentral:rRNA from 1 species